GGGAGAGUGGCUGAGUGGUUAAAAGCGGCAGACUGUAAAUCUGUUGAUGUUUCUACGUAGGUUCGAAUCCUACCUCUCUCA
rnacentral:tRNA from 1 species